rnacentral:rRNA from 1 species
AGUGAACGCUGGCGGUAGGCCUAACACAUGCAAGUCGAACGGCAGCACAGUAAGAGCUUGCUCUUACGGGUGGCGAGUGGCGGACGGGUGAGGAAUACAUCGGAAUCUACUUUUUCGUGGGGGAUAACGUAGGGAAACUUACGCUAAUACCGCAUACGAUCUACGGGUGAAAGCAGGGGAUCUUCGGACCUUGCGCGAUUGAAUGAGCCGAUGUCGGAUUAGCUAGUUGGCGGGGUAAAGGCCCACCAAGGCGACGAUCCGUAGCUGGUCUGAGAGGAUGGUCAGCCACACUGGAACUGAGACACGGUCCAGACUCCUACGGGAGGCAGCAGUGGGGAAUAUUGGACAAUGGGCGCAAGCCUGAUCCAGCCAUACCGCGUGGGUGAAGAAGGCCUUCGGGUUGUAAAGCCCUUUUGUUGGGAAAGAAAAGCAGCAGGUUAAUACCCCGCUGUUCUGACGGUACCCAAAGAAUAAGCACCGGCUAACUUCGUG